UACUUUAUUAUCGUCAACAUCUGCUGCGCUACUUACGCACGAUACACUGGUUGCCCCCGGGCAAGGUUUUCCAGCCUGGACAACAGUAGGAGUGGAAACGUGAUCCACACACAUUGGGCCUAUACGGAAGGAGGAUUCCUGUUUUCCUCUUCUCCUCACUCGAUUUGAGGCAGCCGUCUGAUCUCCAUCCACCUUGAGAAGCGUUUUCCUCCCGAGCGUUGGAGGGUCUUGUCCUGUUACUUUUACUACGAGAAAACCCGUCAACGCCACCAGUCCAACCAAGCACGAAAAAAUCCUCUUGGUCCACAUCCUAAACAAACUUUUUUGUCUAAUUUUCCAAUGUGUUGUUAUUUAAUCCGAUGGAAUAAAUAUCAAGAAUGGC